CGCGGGGUGGAGCAGUUCGGUAGCUCGUCGGGCUCAUAACCCGGAGGUCGUAGGUUCGAAUCCUACCCCCGCAACCA
rnacentral:tRNA from 1 species